GUGAGGAAUAUUGGUCAAUGGACGAGAGUCUGAACCAGCCAAGUAGCGUGCAGGAUGACGGCCCUAUGGGUUGUAAACUGCUUUUAUAAGGGAAUAAAGUGAGUCUCGUGAGACUUUUUGCAUGUACCUUAUGAAUAAGGACCGGCUAAUUCCGUGCCAGCAGCCGCGGUAAUACGGAAGGUCCGGGCGUUAUCCGGAUUUAUUGGGUUUAAAGGGAGCGUAGGCCGGAGAUUAAGCGUGUUGUGAAAUGUAGAUGCUCAACAUCUGAACUGCAGCGCGAACUGGUUUCCUUGAGUACGCACAAAGUGGGCGGAAUUCGUGGUGUAGCGGUGAAAUGCUUAGAUAUCACGAAGAACUCCGAUUGCGAAGGCAGCUCACUGGAGCGCAACUGACGCUGAAGCUCGAAAGUGCGGGUAUCGAACAGGAUUAGAUACCCUUGUAGUCC
rnacentral:rRNA from 1 species